rnacentral:lncRNA from 1 species
AAGUGCCCUCGCAUAGAGCAGAUCUGUUUGGAUGGAUGUGAUCAUCUUGAAACUGCUUUCUUCCAGCCUGUGAGUGUUACUUCUCUCAUAUCAAAUAAUUAACUUAUCUUAACUGAUCAAUUUCCUGCUUUUCUCUUCUUGUUGUGUAUAGGUCGCGCUCCGAUCUCUAAAUUUAGGAAUAUGCCCUAAACUGAGUGUGCUCAAUAUUGAAGCACCUUAUAUGGUGUCUCUUGAAUUGAAAGGUUGCGGUGUACUGUCUGAAGCAUCUAUUAUUUGUCCUCUGUUGACAUCUUUAGAUGCGUCUUUCUGCAGGUAAAUACUUUUUUUUUUUGAUUAUUUUCCAUUUUCGUUACUGAUUUUAUGGUGCUGCUAAUCAGUUUCUUCUAUUAUCUUUCCAGUCAACUGAGAGAUGACUGCCUGUCUGCAACCACUGCUUCUUGCCCACUAAUUGAGUCACUGGUGCUAAUGUCAUGCCCUUCAAUCGGCUCUGAUGGCUUGUCUUCCUUGAACGGACUCCCAAAUUUGACUGUUCUUGAUUUAUCGUACACUUUCUUGAUGAAUUUGGAGCCCGUCUUCAAGUCCUGCGUUCAACUGAAGGUAAUUAAGGCAUUUUGAACUGGAUGAUGCUGGAUGGUUCCCCUUUCUGUCAUCUGUAUAGCUUAUAUUUUAUCUUCUUGAGUUGUUUUGUGUACAUUCUUCUGCCAUUCAUGUUUAUUCCUAUCAUAUCCUAUUGGGGCUUGCUUUGAGACUUUAAUUGUUUAGGUACUCAAAUUACAAGCCUGCAAAUAUCUCACUGAUUCAUCACUGGAGCCUCUAUACAAAGAAGGUGCUUUACCGGCACUUGAAGAGUUGGACCUGUCUUAUGGAACUCUAUGUCAGACUGCGAUAGAUGAUCUACUUGCGUGCUGCACACAUUUGACACAUUUGAGCUUGAACGGCUGUGUUAACAUGCAUGACCUUGAUUGGGGUUCAACCAAUGUACAGCUAUUUGAUUACUUUGAGAA